UCUUUAUUUUUAAGGGGGAGCUUUCAAGCCUGGUGUCUCUGUUUAGCUCUGCUUGGCCAUAGUGUAAAAUAUGGUAGUUGGUGUAGAGUCCCAGCUGGCAAAGUCCUUGCUAAAUCUUUUGCAGAUCGGGAAGCUGACGAGCAGAGCAGCUAAAUGCCUCACUCAAAGUUCACACAGCAGUUCAGUGACAGCUGGAAGAAUCAGCCCCCGGAUCCCCAGCUCCCCUUCGCCUGGCCAGCGGCAGAAUGAAAAAUACUAAGCGAGGCAGAAGGUGCAGCAUAUUUCUGGCACAGAUGGAAGGCAAGUGCUCCUAAAGCUGAUGGCAUGAUGGGGACCAAACUUCACGGAUUGCUUUCCAUCACAGCUGCGGUUCUCCAAACUACCGGAGAAUGAGUGUGGGAAGUACCAGCAGCCCUUUACAACGUGCCAGGAAUGACCAGAGAUGACAGUUGCAAAGGUGAAAGAGAAAGUUUCAGUUAAUGACCAGGAUGAAGCCCGUCCUUCAAACACAGGCUGUGUCCCGAUCGGGCCGAGUACCCUUUGGAGAAGUUUUGCUCCAGAUGCAUCAGCUCAGGGCGGCUGCUGCUACCGAGGAGUCCCGAGAUGCUCCGGCCUUCUCCAUGUACUACAGGGGACUCACGGUGCAUUCCGGGAGCCAAACGCGUGACUCAGAUCUCUGUUUCUCCAGCGGCUCGAACUGCACGCUGCUGGGAGCUCUGCACAACCAAAACUGUGCCGGACCCAGCAAAACCUCUCCUGGUCAGUGGCGGAGGAAGCACAAGCACACGUAGCUCUGCACGGCUACCCCACAGAGAACCUGGCCCUGAUUCUGCUGUCAUGCUGGUGCAGAAGAGCAAUUCAACUGGUGUCAGAGGAUUUCCAUUGACAUAAAUCUAGUGUUUUGCCUCCCCCUCACAAUUUCUGCCAAAAGCUCUGGAUUGCUGUGGUCAAUGGCAUCUCUGAAGGACACACGGGCUGACAGACAGUUCACUGAACACAGGGAGAGGAAAACCCCAGCUGGGAGCACCAAAAACGAGCAAAGCAAAGCUGCUCUAUAUUGCUGACAGUCACUGGGAUCAUCAGCAGAAGCGAGG